rnacentral:rRNA from 1 species
AUUGAACGCUGGCGGCAGGCCUAACACAUGCAAGUCGAACGAGUGGCGGACGGGUGAGUAAUGUCCGGGAAACUGCCUGCUGGAGGGGGAUAACUACUGGAAACGGUAGCUAAUACCGCAUACCAUCAGAUGGGCCCAGAUGGGAUUCGCUUGUUGGUGGGGUAACGGCUCACCAAGGCGACGAUCCCUAGCUGGUCUGAGAGGAUGACCAGCCACACUGGAACUGAGACAGGGUCCAGACUCCUACGGGAGGCAGCAGUGGGGAAUAGUGCACAAUGGGAGCAAGCCUGAUGCGGCCAUGCCGCGUGUAUGAAGAGGGCCUUCGGGUGGUAAAUUACUUACAGCGGGGAGGCGUUACCCGCAGAAGAAGCACCGGCUAACUCCGUGCCAGCAGCCGCAGGAAAUC